rnacentral:rRNA from 1 species
AUUGAACGCUGGCGGCAGGCCUAACACAUGCAAGUCGAACGAGUGGCGGACGGGUGAGUAAUGUCUGGGAAACUGCCCGAUGGAGGGGGAUAACUACUGGAAACGGUAGCUAAUACCGCAUACCAUCGGAUGUGCCCAGAUGGGAUUAGCUUGUAGGUGAGGUAACGGCUCACCUAGGCGACGAUCCCUAGCUGGUCGGAGAGGAUGACCAGUCACCUGGGAACUGAUACACGGUCCAGCCUCCGACGUGAGGCAGCAGUGGGGAAUAUUGAAAAAUGGGCGCAAGCCUGAUGCAGCCAUGCCGCGUGUAUGAAGAAGGCCUUCCGUUUGUAAAGUACUUUCAGCGGGGAGGCGUUACCCGCAGAAGAAGCACCGGCUAACUCCGUGCCAGCAGCCGCGGUAAUUC